rnacentral:rRNA from 1 species
GACGAACGCUGGCGGCGUGCUUAACACAUGCAAGUCGAACGGAAAGGCCCUGCUUGCAGGGUACUCGAGUGGCGAACGGGUGAGUAACACGUGGGUGAUCUGCCCUGCACUUCGGGAUAAGCCUGGGAAACUGGGUCUAAUACCGGAUAGGAGCCAUUUUUAGUGUGAUGGUUGGAAAGUUUUUUCGGUGUAGGAUGAGCUCGCGGCCUAUCAGCUUGUUGGUGGGGUAAUGGCCUACCAAGGCGGCGACGGGUAGCCGGCCUGGGAGGGUGGACGGCCACAUUGGGGCUGAGGUACGGCCCAGACUCCUACGGGGGGGAGGAGGGGGGAAUAUUGCACAAUGGGGGCAAGCCUGAUGCAGCGACGGCGCGUGGGGGAUGACGGCCUUCGGGUUGUAAACUCCUUUCGCUAGGGACGAAGCUUUUUGUGACGGUACCUAGAUAAGAAGCACCGGCUAACUACGUG